GAUGAAGAACGUCGAAAUGCGAUACUUGGUGUGAAUUGCAGAAUCCCGUGAACCAUCGAGUCUUUGAACGCAAGUUGCGCCUCAAGCCAUUAGGUUGAGGGCACGUCUGCCUGGGCGUCACAUAUCGUUGCCUGAUGCCAGUUUCCUCGUGAUGGGUGACUGUGCAGGGCGAAUGAUGGCUUCCCGUGAGCAUUGUUGCCUCAUGGUUGGUUGAAAAUUGAGUCCUUGGUAGGGAGCGCCGUGAUAGAUGGUGGUUGAGUGACGAACGAGACCCAAUCAUGUGAGACCCCUACCGAAUUUGGCCUUCAUGACCCACAUGCGUCUUUGGAACGCUCAUGACGAGACCUCAGGUCAGGCGGGGCUACCCGCUGAGUUUAAGCAUAUCAAUAAGCGGAGGA
rnacentral:misc_RNA from 1 species